UACGGGGGGGGCAAGCGUUGUUCGGAAUUACUGGGCGUAAAGGGCUCGUAGGCGGCCAACUAAGUCAGACGUGAAAGCCCCGGGCUCAACCUGGGAACUGCAUUGGAAACUAACGGGCUCGAGUGUGGCAGAGGGGGGUGGAAUUCCACGUGUAGCAGUGAAAUGCGUAGAGAUGUGGAGGAACACCGAUGGCGAAGGCAGCCCCCUGGGCUAACACUGACGCUCAGGCACGAAAGCGUGGGGAGCAAACAGG
rnacentral:rRNA from 1 species